AGGUGAUAUGAACCGUUAUAACCGGCGAUUUCCGAAUGGGGAAACCCAGUGUGUUUCGACACACUAUCAUUAACUGAAUCCAUAGGUUAAUGAGGCGAACCGGGGGAACUGAAACAUCUAAGUACCCCGAGGAAAAGAAAUCAACCGAGAUUCCCCCAGUAGCGGCGAGCGAACGGGGAGCAGCCCAGAGCCUGAAUCAGUGUGUGUGUUAGUGGAAGCGUCUGGAAAGGCGCGCGAUACAGGGUGACAGCCCCGUACACAAAAAUGCACAUGCUGUGAGCUCGAUGAGUAGGGCGGGACACGUGGUAUCCUGUCUGAAUAUGGGGGGACCAUCCUCCAAGGCUAAAUACUCCUGACUGACCGAUAGUGAACCAGUACCGUGAGGGAAAGGCGAAAAGAACCCCGGCGAGGGGAGUGAAAAAGAACCUGAAACCGUGUACGUACAAGCAGUGGGAGCACGCUUAGGCGUGUGACUGCGUACCUUUUGUAUAAUGGGUCAGCGACUUAUAUUCUGUAGCAAGGUUAACCGAAUAGGGGAGCCGAAGGGAAACCGAGUCUUAACUGGGCGUUAAGUUGCAGGGUAUAGACCCGAAACCCGGUGAUCUAGCCAUGGGCAGGUUGAAGGUUGGGUAACACUAACUGGAGGACCGAACCGACUAAUGUUGAAAAAUUAGCGGAUGACUUGUGGCUGGGGGUGAAAGGCCAAUCAAACCGGGAGAUAGCUGGUUCUCCCCGAAAGCUAUUUAGGUAGCGCCUCGUGAAUUCAUCUCCGGGGGUAGAGCACUGUUUCGGCAAGGGGGUCAUCCCGACUUACCAACCCGAUGCAAACUGCGAAUACCGGAGAAUGUUAUCACGGGAGACACACGGCGGGUGCUAACGUCCGUCGUGAAGAGGGAAACAACCCAGACCGCCAGCUAAGGUCCCAAAGUCAUGGUUAAGUGGGAAACGAUGUGGGAAGGCCCAGACAGCCAGGAUGUUGGCUUAGAAGCAGCCAUCAUUUAAAGAAAGCGUAAUAGCUCACUGGUCGAGUCGGCCUGCGCGGAAGAUGUAACGGGGCUAAACCAUGCACCGAAGCUGCGGCAGCGACGCUUAUGCGUUGUUGGGUAGGGGAGCGUUCUGUAAGCCUGCGAAGGUGUGCUGUGAGGCAUGCUGGAGGUAUCAGAAGUGCGAAUGCUGACAUAAGUAACGAUAAAGCGGGUGAAAAGCCCGCUCGCCGGAAGACCAAGGGUUCCUGUCCAACGUUAAUCGGGGCAGGGUGAGUCGACCCCUAAGGCGAGGCCGAAAGGCGUAGUCGAUGGGAAACAGGUUAAUAUUCCUGUACUUGGUGUUACUGCGAAGGGGGGACGGAGAAGGCUAUGUUGGCCGGGCGACGGUUGUCCCGGUUUAAGCGUGUAGGCUGGUUUUCCAGGCAAAUCCGGAAAAUCAAGGCUGAGGCGUGAUGACGAGGCACUACGGUGCUGAAGCAACAAAUGCCCUGCUUCCAGGAAAAGCCUCUAAGCAUCAGGUAACAUCAAAUCGUACCCCAAACCGACACAGGUGGUCAGGUAGAGAAUACCAAGGCGCUUGAGAGAACUCGGGUGAAGGAACUAGGCAAAAUGGUGCCGUAACUUCGGGAGAAGGCACGC
rnacentral:rRNA from 1 species